CGCCGCGGCCCAACUUGACCGGAGUUGAGGUCCUGAGCGCCUGCCCCCGAGCAGCCGGCCCGCGGAGAGCUCUGCGCCGCCACCCCAGGCUUCCAGGAUGGAGGAACUGAAGCUGACAAACAGCAAGUUAGAAGGUGGCAAGGAACUCCAGCACACCAAAGUGCCCCGCCCGUCCCGACCGCCGCCACAGCCGGAUACUUGCUGAGAACCUAGUAUUUUCCAGGCGUUGAUCAAGAGGUGUGUGUGAAGUGAUACAAAAAGUUAUGAACAUUCAUAUAAGGCAGUAGAAGAUGAUGGCACAACUGCUAGAGAAGUAAAGCUUGUUAUCCCGGAAGAGAAAUAGAAGCUGCCAUUUGCUUUCUCUCCACUGGCCACUGACCCUUGGAGAGGCAGUGUGGACAACAUGGACACUUGCUCACAACAGUGCCACUGGGACAUGUUAUCAGCUCCUGCCCAGCCUCAGACCCAGUCAAGACAAGUGGGGCUGCUGUGUGGAGGGCAAUUCCCUGAGCCCCUAAGAAAAUUCAGAGAACCUCUCAGAAGACAAAGCUUUGGAUUGGACUACAGCUUCACCUGUGACUCUUUCCUAGCAAGCCAUGGUGUUGGAUGAAACAAGAAGAUGUGAACUGUAAUCCAGUCACAAAAGCCAAAAGUUGAGAAGAAGUUGCCAUUUCUUCUUCCUGCUUACCAUUCAAGGAUCUAUUUCCCCAAAUCCCUGUUAGAGUUAUUGGUAUCCUGGCUUUAUACAUAUUCCAUGGUAUUUGAAUGCAUAAACUGGCAAUCACAGCAUUGGUUUGAAGUUAGUGGUUCUGCCACACUCUAGCUAUAUGACUUAGGCAUGUUAGUUAUCACUCU
rnacentral:lncRNA from 9 species